UCGCUCCUACCGAUUGAGUGAUCCGGUGAAUAAUUCGGACCACCGCAGUGUUCAGCCCCUGAACGUUGCAGUGGAAAGUUUAGUGAACCUUAUCACUUAGAGGAAGGAG
rnacentral:rRNA from 1 species